rnacentral:lncRNA from 1 species
CCCAAAGCCCCCUGGUACAUAGUUGUAUCUUCUUUGUUGUGGGUCCUUCUAGUUGUGGCAUGUGGGAUGCUGCCUCAGCAUGGUUUGAUGAGCAGUGCCAUGUCUGCGCCCAGGAUUCGAACCAACGAAACACUGGGCCACCUGCAGCGGAGCACGCAAACUUAACCACUCGGCCACGGGGCCAGCCCCUGGUCCCACCUCUUAACGCCAUCACAUUGGGAGUUAGGGUUUCAACACUUUUAAAUUGAGAUACAAUUGACAUAACAUUAUAUUAGUUUCAGGUGUAUGAAGUAAGAAUUCAAUAUAUUUAUAUAUUGUGAAAUGAUCACCACAAUAAGUCUAGUUGACAUCUACCACCUUACCACCUUGAAAAUAUGUACGCACAACGUUAUUCAUCGCAGUGUUGUUUGUGAUUGCAAAUUAUUGGAAAGCAAUUAAACGCCCAUACAAAAGAGAGUGGUUGAAUAAAUUGCGGUACUUCUACACACUAGGGCACUAUGCAGCUAUGCAGAGAAUGAGGAGGGUCUCUACAAACUUACAUGGAAUGAUUAAUGCUGCGGACUGGAUGUCUCUGUCCCCCCAAAUUCACAUGUUGAAAUCCUGUGGAAAGCUGGAAUGCUGGGCCACGCACGAAGGCCCCAUCAGAGGAGACCCCUGGAGUGGGCUGCCCCGACAGGUCACACUCCUCAUGCUCCUCCUCUCCUAAUGCUCCCUGCAGGCUCAGGCUUAUCGUCCUGGGAGAACAAUGUGAACUCCUCUCUAGACCCCAGCUGUCAGCCCGUCCUGCAGGUCUUUAUUUCUCAUGACUCUUAGAACUCGGCCCUCAGCCACCUGCACCAGUGUCCCUGGACGUUUGGAAAUACACUGUUUAGUCCUCCUUCUUUACACACCCACUGCUUUCCCUCAUCAGUCCUCCCACACCCUCCAGUUAAUCCUCCAUUUUCCCUCUGGAGGAACUUUCUAGAACACAGACACCGUCAUGGAACUUCCUUGGCUGAAAGCAUCAGGCAGUGCCUGGAGACUGUGGAACCCAUUUCAAACCCUGGGAUGAGGGCUUUCCCAAGCUGGGCACAGCUCCCUUGCCACCCCCACCUCCUACCUGAGCCCCUUGCGCCCUCAGCUACUCACAGCAGACAGCGGGGCAUCCUUCCUGAUAGCUUUAUGGGAUAUGAGGGAAUCGAAUUAGGUGUACAGAACAAUUUAAAGAAAGCCAACAUCCUUACACCAUAGAACCCACCAAUCCAAGAAGAAAGCAUGACUUACCCAAACCGUUUUUGCGUCAUUUAGUGUUCGGUCGCGUUGUGCGAGUUCUCGCUGGUGGUCUUUGGACCUUGGGCCCAUUUUGGCAGGCCAGGUGCCUAAAGUUCUCUUCUUCUGGUUUUGUGUAUUGCGCCCCUAUGCUGUUUUGUGGAAUCCAGCCUGUUCCUUUCACCUUUACGACAGUCGCCAUCAAAAGUCCCAAGGGGCAGUGGCCUGAGGCCUAUUCUAAUGAGCCCUGUCGUCCACUCGGCAUGCUGCAGCCCUCCACCCAUUUGAAAAUCCAUGAAAUCACAGGUUUUCCGGUAUCCCCUGCCCUGAACCCAAACUUCUGUCUCAAGCUGCUGCUCUGCGUCCUAAUGUGUUAAGGGGUGGCCUCACCAGUGACAUGAUGUGGGCACUGCAAGCCAUCAGGUACUGAAAUGGGAUCCUUGUCCUGCACUUCCUUCUAGAAAGCAACAUUCACAGGCAUAUUUCUAUGUGACAGGAAAUAGUACACUGUCCUUGCAUAGAGUAUGAGGACAUAACCUCCGUAACUGCAGCAUCCAGAGGGAACAUGUUGGAGUUUGUGCUUCCAACCUUGAUUUACAAAAGGCAGGUGACAGAAAAGCCACGACAGCUGUUGAGUGUAGAUUCUAACCUGAAUCGGGGCUCUAACAGAGAGCUAUGACUAACGACUGUGCUCAAAAUGCAUACACUUUUUAACAAAAUUGGGGCCACAUGGCACAGCCUCAUUUGAACAAAUCACGGGCAUCUUCCUCUGUUCUUGGGGAAGGCGGUCUCCAGCAGCAGCCUUGUCCCUGUGUUGGCACUCUACAAUUUGCUCAAAAAGCCCUCUGUUUUUCACGUCACUUUUUUCACUGCUUCAAAAAUAAUUCAUGAACAUCUUUGCACAUAAAGAUUUGAGCCCAUUUGUGGUUGUUUUCUCAUGAUACAGUCCUACCAGAGGAAUUUCCGUUCCGCGCCCCCUAAACCAAAGUUCACGUGAGACUGCGUAAGAAGAGUCAAAAAGGACACAGUCGGUGGAGCCGAGUGGACGAGACACACGUCUGCCUCGCCAGCCCACGCCUGGCUCAGGAGGCCCCAGCAAGGUCUCCGGGGUCACAGGUCAGGGUGUUCUCAGCUCAGUGAGGGGAAGAGCUCAGCAGAUCUGGUUUCCUCCCGGCCUCUUUCCCUUGCUGGCAGACGGCUGUCUUCUCCCUGUCUCUUCGCGUGGUUGUCCCUCUGUGUACCCGCUUGUCUGGUGUCUCUCCCUGUGUGUCCUAACCUCCUCUGCUUAUAAGGACAACAGUCACAUUGAAUUAGGGCCCACCAUAAAGGCCUCAUUUUAAUGUAAUCAUCUCUUUAAAGCCCUUAUCUCCAAAUACGGUCACAUUCUGAGGUACCGAGGGUUGGGGCUUCAACACACGAAUUAUUAGAGUGGGAUGUUAGGUUAUCAAUUUGAGAUCUUCCUUGUUUUUUAAAUACAGAUAGUAUAGCUAUAACUUCCCGUCUAAGUAGU